rnacentral:rRNA from 1 species
AGUGAACGCUGGCGGUAGGCCUAACACAUGCAAGUCGAACGGCAGCACAGUAAGAGCUUGCUCUUACGGGUGGCGAGUGGCGGACGGGUGAGGAAUACAUCGGAAUCUACUUUUUCGUGGGGGAUAACGUAGGGAAACUUACGCUAAUACCGCAUACGACCUACGGGUGAAAGCAGGGGAUCUUCGGACCUUGCGCGAUUGAAUGAGCCGAUGUCGGAUUAGCUAGUUGGCGGGGUAAAGGCCCACCAAGGCGACGAUCCGUAGCUGGUCUGAGAGGAUGAUCAGCCACACUGGAACUGAGACACGGUCCAGACUCCUGCGGGAGGCAGCAGUGGGGAAUAUUGGACAAUGGGCGCAAGCCUGAUCCAGCCAUACCGCGUGGGUGAAGAAGGCCUUCGGGUUGUAAAGCCCUUUUGUUGGGAAAGAAAAGCAGCAGGUUAAUACCCCGCUGUUCUGACGGUACCCAAAGAAUAAGCACCGGCUAACUUCG